GUGUGCUGUUCCGUUCUAAGACCCCUUUGAGCUUGACUCUAGUCUGGCACUGUGAAGAGACAUGAGAGUUGUAGAAUAAGUGGGAGGUGUCUCUCGUAUGCCGGCGAUGAAAUACCACUACUCUUAUCGUUUUUUCACUUACCUGGUGAGGCGGGGAGGCGAGCCCCGAACGGGCUCUCGCUUCUGGCGUCAACCGCCCGGCCCA